UACGUAGGUGGCAAGCGUUAUCCGGAAUUACUGGGCGUAAAGCGCUCGCAGGCGGUUUCUUAAGUCUGAUGUGAAAGCCCACGGCUCAACCGUGGAGGGUCAUUGGAAACUGGGAGACUUGAGUGCAGAAGAGGAGAGUGGAAUUCCACGUGUAGCGGUGAAAUGCGUAGAGAUGUGGAGGAACACCAGUGGCGAAGGCGACUCUCUGGUCUGUAACUGACGCUGAGGAGCGAAAGCGUGGGGAGCGAACAGG
rnacentral:rRNA from 1 species